rnacentral:rRNA from 1 species
UUGAACGCUGGCGGCACGCCUAACACAUGCAAGUCGAGCGGCAGCGAGAUUAGUAGCAAUACUAAUUGUCGGCGAGCGGCGGACGGGUGAGUAGACCGUAGGAACUUACCCUUCAGAGGGGGAUAACCAAGGGAAACUUUGGCUAAUACCGCGUAAACUCGGAAGAGGAAAGCUGCCCGUAAGGGUGGCGCUGAAGGAGAGGCCUGCGACCGAUUAGCUAGUUGGAGAGGUAAAAGCUCACCAAGGCGAUGAUCGGUAACUGGUCUGAGAGGACGACCAGUCACACUGGGACUGAGACACGGCCCAGACUCCUACGGGAGGCAGCAGUGGGGAAUCUUGGACAAUGGGGGCAACCCUGAUCCAGCGAUGCCGCGUGGGUGAAGAAGGCCUUCGGGUUGUAAAGCCCUUUAGGUCAGGAGGAAGGUUAUUAGAGGAUAAUGCUAAUAAUUUGACUGUACUGACAGAAUAAGCACCGGCAAACUCUGUGCCAGCAGCCGCGGUAAUACAGAGGGUGCGAGCGUUAAUCGGAAUUACUGGGCGUAAAGGGCGCGUAGGCGGUGAGAAGAGUGUGGUGUGAAAGCCCCGGGCUUAACCUGGGAAGUGCACCGCAAACGAUCUGACUGGAGUAUAAGAGAGGGUGGCGGAAUUUCCGGUGUAGCGGUGAAAUGCGUAGAGAUCGGAAGGAACGUCGAUGGCGAAGGCAGCCACCUGGCUUAAUACUGACGCUGAGGCGCGAAAGCGUGGGGAGCGAACAGGAUUAGAUACCCUGGUAGUCCACGCUGUAAACGAUGAGGACUAGAUGUUGUUAGGGGAACCUAGCAGUAUCGAAGCUAACGCGAUAAGUCUUCCGCCUGGGAAGUACGGCCGCAAGGUUGAAACUCAAAUGAAUUGACGGGGGCCCGCACAAGCGGUGGAGCAUGUGGUUUAAUUCGACGCAACGCGAAGAACCUUACCUACCCUUGACAUCCUGCGAAGGGAGCCGAGAAGCUUCUGUGCCGAAAGGAACGCAGAGACAGGUGCUGCAUGGCUGUCGUCAGCUCGUGUUGUGAGAUGUUGGGUUAAGUCCCGCUAACGAGCGCAACCCCUGUCCCUAUGUUGCCAGCGAGUAAAGACUGGGGACUCUAAUGGAGACUGCCGGUGACAGAAUCGGAGGAAGGUGGGGAUGAUGUCAAGUCAUCAUGGACCCUUAUGGUCAGGGCUACACACGUGCUACAAUUGGGCCGUACAGAGGGCUAGCCAAACCCGUGAUGGGGAGCCAAUCUCAAAAAGCCGGUCUCGUAGUCGGAUUGGAGUCUGAAACUCGCCUUCAUGAAGUCGGAAGUUCGCUAGUAAUCGCGGAUCAGCAUUGCUCGCGGUGAAUACGUUCCCGGGCCUUGUACACACCGCCCGUCACACCACUGGAGUCGGGUCAUACCAGAAGCCGGUGUGCUAACCCGCAAGGGGGGCGCCGUACCAAGGUGAGGCUUCGGUGAUUGGGGUG